rnacentral:snRNA from 1 species
AAAAAGGGCUUCUGUCAGGAGUGGCACAUGUAGGGCAACUUAAUUGAUCUGUGUACAGAAUCAACAUCAAGAGAUUUCAGAAGCAUAAUUUUUUGGUGCAUGGGCAGCUGGUGAACCUUGGUCCUGGCACCCUU